rnacentral:rRNA from 1 species
AACGAACGCUGGCGGCAGGCUUAACACAUGCAAGUCGAACGAUGUAGCAAUACAUAGUGGCGCACGGGUGAGUAACGCGUGGGAAUGUACCAUUUGGUGGGGAAUAACUUUGGGAAACUAAAGCUAAUACCGCAUACGCCCGAGAGGGGAAAGAUUUAUCGCCAAAUGAUCAGCCCGCGUGAGAUUAGGUAGUUGGUGGGGUAAUGGCCUACCAAGCCUACGAUCUCUAGCUGGUCUGAGAGGAUGAUCAGCCACACUGGAACUGAGACACGGUCCAGACUCCUACGGGAGGCAGCAGUGGGGAAUAUUGGGCAAUGGAGGAAACUCUGACCCAGCCAUGCCGCGUGAAUGAUGAAGGCCUUAGGGUUGUAAAGUUCUUUCGCCGAUGAAGAUAAUGACGGUAGUCGGAGAAGAAGCCCCGGCUAACUUCGUG